ACCAUUGCACUCCAGCCUGGGCAUCAAGAGUGAAACUCUGUCAUGAAAAAAGAAAGAACAAAAACCAAAAACCCUCUUUGGAUAAACUGCUGUAAUCCAUGUGAAUUUUCUAAACUUACCUAUUGUAUCAGAAAUUUAGGGAUAUUUAUAGUGGGCUAGGGAAAACUUCUAAUAGUCUCCAAUCUAAUAAAAAUAAAAAUGUUAAUAUAAAAAUAAAGCUGCUAACAUUCUUUUCAUUCCUCCUUAUCUGCUUAUUCCCCUUUGCCUGCCAGGUCAGCGGCAGAUACUUGUAGAAGCAGUACGCAUGAAAGGAGAGAUCUCUAACCUUAGCACACUCCUUUGGAUCCUCUUCAUUGCAAAGCAUGAAGAUUCCCACAUCACUAGGGGAAUCUGAAUGCUUGGGAACAUAGCUGGAAAGAGGCCAAUACUAAAAGGACAGAGCUAGGCACUGACGAUUUGGGAACUUGAAGGCACAUUCAGCUUGAAACUUCUCACUUGCUUGAAGUAAUUUCUCAUCUUCCUGAGACUCAAACUUCAAAAAGAAACACUUCAUAGAGUUUAUAUAUGAUUACAAGAGAGAAAGUGCAUGUUCAGAUUCCACAGUCAACACACGCAUUAAAUGUAUGGUUUGACUCUCCAGGAACCAGCUGGGGCUCAAUUGUAAUAAACAGAGUGAUGUAAGAACCUUCACUUAAGUUUCGGACAGAAUCAAAACCCCGCUCAAGAAUCAUAUUUCGCUCCUUACUGUAGCCCAGAAGAACUGGGGGAAUAUCUAUUUUAAAUGUUCCAUCAAUCUGUGAAGAAAAUAUAAUUUGGUAAACAUCCUGAUGCUUUUUCCAACAGAAGUUCAGAGGCAAGUGUCAACUCCUCAUUGUCUAAUAAAUUGAAUCAAAACUG